rnacentral:tRNA from 1 species
GCUCGGUUGGUGUAGUCCGGUCAAUCAUCUCGCCCUCUCGAGGCGAGGACACGGGUUCGAACAUAGUCACUGGCGUUCGUAGCUUUCGACGCCAGGACAUCGAAAGUCCCGUACCGAGCA